GACAGCUUGGCCGAGUGGUUAAGGCGAUGGACUUGAAAUCCAUUGGGGUAACCUGCGUGAGUUUCAAAUCUCACAGCUGUCG
rnacentral:tRNA from 1 species